rnacentral:other from 1 species
ACUUGCCUAGAACAUUUGUUGAGGGCUCUUAAUUGAACCUACAACACUUAAUCGGGAAUCCGGGUUCAUUGUGGGCUGUCAUGCCUUUUUAUAAGGACGACAAAACACCGUGGCAGGAUACCCACCUAUCAUUACGAUAGGCGUCAAUUAAGCCCUAACGGUGUUUCUGGGUUGUUU